rnacentral:rRNA from 1 species
AUUGAACGCUGGCGGCAGGCUUAACACAUGCCAGUCGAGCGAGCGGCGGACGGGUGAGUAAUGUCUGGGAAACUGCCUGAUGGAGGGGGAUAACUCCUGGAAACGGUAGAUAAUACAGCAACCCAUCAGAUGUGACCAGAUGGGAUUAGCUCGUAGGUGGGGUAAUGGCUCACCUAGGCGACGAUCCCUCGCUGGUCUGAGAGGAUGACCAGCCACACUGGAACGGAGACACGGUCCAGACUCACACGGGAGGCAGCAGUGGGUAAUAUUGAACAAUGGGCGAAAGCCUGAUGCAGCCAUGCCGCGUGUGUGAAGAAGGCCUUCGGGUUGUAAAGUACUUUCAGCGAGGAGGCGUUACUCGCAGAAGAAGCACCGGCUAACUCCGUGCCAGCCGCCGCGGUAAUAC